rnacentral:lncRNA from 7 species
ACUUGUAUUCCCCCCAGUGGGAGGAAGCUGACCUGUGGAGGAGGAGUGUCCAGUACUGAGAGCACCAUCUUCUCAGCGGAGCGUGCUGUAAGGGCCACUCAGGGAUGGUAUGUGCCCUUAAGGAAGAAAGGUUUUGCAGAAGAUGGGUGCUACGUGCAGCUUUUUGUACGCUGUAUUUCAGAGCCUGGUGAUGGCAACCAUAUAAUGCUUUGAGUGUAUCACCUGCAUCGCUUACUGGUUUGGAAGUGCCCUAAAUCUGUUAGGGAAAAGUUAGGAGCCAUUGCAUCCCUCAGAUUAGAUGGUCAGUCAAGCAGUGGCCUGCAUUAUGAAGACAAAAGUGGCAGAGACUUUGUGUAACUGCUUUUGGUAACUGAAAGUUGGAGGCAGAGUUACUGGCUGGGAUGUCCCCCUGAGGUGUCAAUGAGAGAAAACAUGGCACGUUUCAUACAGAAACUAAGGUGUGAAAUAACCAUGGAAACGGUAUCAUCUGAGCCUGCCAGGUGGUGAGAACGGGCUUUCUUCCCCGCAUCUUCCAUUAUCACGGCUCCUGUGCAGUGGGAAGAAAGCAAGGAUUGGACAGCUGGAUGACAGCUGGGUGUGAAGGAGCUCAGUUCUGCCAGGCAGGGAAAGGCCUCCUUGGUGAGGCCAUUGCUUUUGCACCAAGAAUAUGAUCUGGGGCAAUGCCCAGAGGAUCAUGGCUGCUUUUCCAGCAGUAGAGUGGGGGUGUGUGAUUGCACAGCUCAGGGGUGCUGUCCUCUCUGUGCUUGCCAACUAUACAGGCUGGCUUAUCUGAAACCUAUAGGAACGAGUGCUGAAAGAGGCGAAACUCAUCUGAAUAUCCUGGGCAUUAUUAGAUGAGCAGGAAGGAUUCCGUUGCUCAUUUGCACAGUCCUCCUCACAGAGCGCAUAAUCAAGAAACCUGAGGAUCUCCUAACCCAUCCGCUGACAAAGAGCUCCCUACGCCCUCAUUAAGGUGAUCGAACGAGAGCUGCAAUCAAUUACACAAGUGCUAAAGGCGAUGAAAAUUAGUUCCACUGGGAAUUUGCCUACAAAUUUUCUUUUGCUUGCAAAAAUCAGAUUACGACAAAAAAUCCCCGAGGAGAGAGGGAAAUGAAUCAGAAGACCAAGGCAUUCACUGUAUGGAAAAGAAACAAUUAAAAAGGAAAUAAUGAAGGCACAGCUCUCCUCACACACAUGACAUCUGGCCAGAUAUAUGGGAGAUAGGAAGGGCGUGUAUAAGACUGAAGAUAUGCCUGCUGAGAUGCAAAGUUCACUGAAGAAUUGGAAGGCCCUUUUGAGGAUGGACAACAAGAGUGCAUGGAAAUAUCUUCAGAAGAAAUGCAGUUUAAGGAGGAAAAUAAAAUAAAUUAGAUUGCUUACAGAACCAAUCAAGACUCAGUCAAAUCACCAAGAGCGGACACUGCUGAGAUGGAUCAAGAUGCCAACACUGCCGUAUAGAAGAGUAUUUCUGCUCACACAGAUUUUUCUGAGUGAAAUGUAGUUUCUUGUUUUCCGUGAUAUGGCAAAUAACUGUUUUUGUGUUUGAGUAUGGGAAAAGAAAUGGUACUGACUGCAAGCUCUUGUCCACUGAGGAAUAAGUGAGGAUGGAAAUGUGACUUUCUCCAAUGUUCAGUAAAUAAUGACUUUGGAAAGCUUUCUCCUAACCUCUAUAAGAUUGUAUGGCCUCUUUCCAUAACUUAACAGAGCUAGUCUUGUGCAAGGCAGCACAUACAGGGUUAAGCCAAUGGCUCCAGCUUGAAUAAAAAUGUUCUACUACAUACUAAAAAUCUGCAAGAUACUAAUAUCAAAGUGGUUAAAAAGGACAAGUGGGAUGUGUGGAAAAAGUUUCGUGGAGACAGAAGGAAGAAAGGCAGUUAGGAAGAUAGAAAAGCUGUUAAAGAUUUCAAUUUCUCUGCUUGAAGUCAAAAUUUUAAGAGAUGAUUGAUCUUACAUUAUUUCAAAUUAGAUUUAAUUUCUGAUUAAUCUGUUAUUUGAUAUCAGUGCCCAGCCAAAGCAAUUAUAUUAAUUCUUUUGAGUGAUACUACAAAAUAAACCUUUCCAUUUGAUUUGAAGGAGUUAAAUGGUGUGUUUGCACUGGAAGACACUAUAUUAAAGUGCUGACAGAUGUCCAGGUCUGCUUUCCUCCAUAAUUAAAGCACUACUUGAAUAAAACC